UGGGUUAGUAGGCAGGGGGUGGGCCGGAUGGGCCAGUGGGCUGGCCGGCUGGGCUGGUUGGCCCUGUUAGCCGGGGGUCUUUCUCUCACUCUCACCUCUUCUUUUUCUUUUGUUUUCUGUUUUAUUUUUGUUCCUUUUUAUUUCAGUUUUAUAAAAAUUAACACUAGCACCUAAAUUUGUAUUUAUAAAUAUACUACUGCCACAUUAACUUUGGCACCUAAAUAAAAUAGUUUUGUAAUUAUUUAUCAUUUAAAAGUAUUUAUUAAAUAACAGUUUUGCCGCUGUUUUAAUUACUAUGGUGCAUUUAAAUACUUUAGAGGAGUGUGGUUUCUACACCAAUAUUUAGUAUGGAUUAUUUGGCUCACUCCGAACAUUUUAGUUUUAAUAUUUGUAAACUUUUAUUAUUUGCUUUUAUUUAAAUUUUGAAUUUGUUUCGGUUCUGAACUAUCGAGAGUUUAUCUUCGGUAAACGGGGUGACGUGGCAUCGUUAACGUGGGAUUAAUGUAGCUUAAUUAUGCGGGCGUUACAAUUCUCCUCCACUACAAGAAAUCUCGUCCCAAGAUUUAAGAGGUAGAGUAAGGGGAAAAGUUCUGGUUACGGAAUUCUAACGAAUCUUCUCGGUCUUGGUUGCUCUUCUCGAAGAAGUUGAUCCGUUACAUUGAUGUCUUCAUUUUUCCUGCUUAAGGUAAUCAUGAUGAAGCUGGCAUCCUUUUUUCGGGAACUCCAUCGUACUUACGAAGGAUAAGGGGGCAUUACGGAUAAACGGGCCGCUAAAAUGUUUGCUUAUCUAGUAGAUAUCAUCAGGGAGGGUGGUGGGAGGUAACCCUCGAAUUAAAACUUAAGACAUUAUCGAGCAAGUAAGAAGGUGCAAAAUAGAAGUUUCAAGCGCAUAGACAAUCGUUCGUUGCCUGAUACGAAAUGUGACAGGGGUUCAGAGCAAAUGGGAAAGUAUUGCGUCUGGUACCAGAAUAGAUCACUAGGCAGGUGGCCCGUGAAUCACAUACGAAGUCAAGCUCGAGGAAUAACUUCGACAACAGGGUGUAUAGGAGAGUCAGGUUUCGAUCCUGUGGAACUGUGGGUUAUGGGCCCACCAUGUGGGUUAAAAGUAUGAAGGGCGAUGACAUCUUGCACGAUCAUGUGAGCAAGGUAUGUCAGAGGAUAGUCUGUCGGUUAUGUAGGCAACAACAUCGGUACCAAGGGCGAGGGACGAAGAGAACCAUUCUCCUGCUCGUUGAACGAGGCAAACCAAUAGGCAAAGUUCACGUCCAUCGGUGGUUACCGGAAUGCUAUCAACAAUAGUAACAGGGUCUUACUGACAGAGUUAUACACUGAGGUGUUGACAUAAGCAGGGAAUUAAUGCUGCUUAGAUCAAAGUGAUCACCAGAAAGGUUAAAGAAAACAAUGGAAAGGAAAAGGUGUUUAUUAGAUUAACAGAACAAUGGAAAGGAAAAUGUGUUUAAACACAUAUUUCAGGGGUAUAUCCUUCCCAAGGGUAAGCAGAGCAUGAUAUCCAUGAUUGGAUAGAAGUAAAAAAAACUCUUUAGGUAAGGGGAGAGAAAUUUCAUGACAUUACCCAUACAACGGUGUUUGGAUAAUGGACAAAGAAAAUUUAGCUUUGUUCUUCAAAUGCUCUUAUUGGAAAUCGGAGUACCACAGACAUGCUUCGAGAUAGCAUUGACAUGGUCUUCAAGCAAAGAUGAGACUUUGGAUACAGGAAGGAUCCAUCAGGACAAACUUGUAGAAUAAGUCUUACAAUUUUCUCAUGGAAGAAUGGAUAACCUUGCCGAAAGGAAGAACUAUAACAACAGGUCCUCCCGCCAGGUGUGCCGGGUAUCAUCACCUUACUGGGCCAUAAUAGACCAGUGUUAUAACUCUUGGAAAAAUGUUCCAACCAUCAUAUAUGACUGAGAUUCAGAUAUGAUCGGUGUUUGGAUACCUCAGACUCAGGGUGCCUGAGAAGAAAAGGUGCAAAACAAAUUGACGAGACGACAUUGUAAUAUUCUCGGGAAAUGAACUAUGGAAGCGAGUUCCGAACAAGGGUUCAUCAUUAAAUCAAGGGGAGGUGAGGAGGUGACUGAUUGACUCAGCGACAAUCCAUUGAGAUUUCCAAAAGAUGGAUUUCCACAACUAUGUGACCAAGGAGAUAAAAUUAGCUAGAUCGAAUGAUAUAAUGAGGUAUGCUCGAGGAAAACAUACCCAAUUAAACAUUGGUGGAAAGCUGCACCCAAAAUAUGGGCUUAGGUAGCAUGAUCAAUGUUGGAACGAUGAUUCGAUAACCAAUAGUCUAAGAAUGAACUAUCGACCAUUAACUUACAAGCAAUAGGGUUGCUAGAAGUUUUGACUUCACACAUCAUAGUUAAAUGGCUGGUAUCCCGGUUAGAAACAACACGGGGACCAAAAUAUGAACGGAGAUGGCGAGAAGUAUUACUAUAUCAAGAAUUCUUAAGAGGUGGUGAAAUUCUCACGACAUUCUUGACAUAAAAGGUGGUAAUACUCCAAGGUAAGGAACAAAUGCUGGAUAGCAAGGAUCCUAAGGUAUAACACGAAACACGAACAAGUUUGUGUUGGAGGGAAGGCAGUAAAGUGGCCGAUGAUAACACAAAUCAUCGAGGAAAAGGAUGGUAUUUCUCAUCCUGAAUUUCGACACACAACUUGGAAGAAGUCAAAUUGUUGACAAUGAUCACGACAAAUUUGUCGAGAGGUUUUCAAGAAGAUGUAAUUGAUCGACGAUGACAUCAAGUCAAAGGAAUGAUGAAAGCGAAAGGUUAUUGGAACCACGGGUAGGACACAAACUCGAAAUCAAGUUUGCUGUUCAAGGAGAAGUGAUAUGACGAGGAAGAUCGACGCAAGAUUAGCUCACUGUCGAAAUUUGUGCGCUGGGAAGGUCCAGGUAGCACAGUUAAAAUCGGCACGAUAAUGACAUAGCCGAGCAGGCUAGGAAUGACUUGAAGGAUUAUUAAACUCAUAAGCAACAAAAAUUACUUAGAGUUAUUGAAUCGGAGUGCGGAAUUGAUUCACUUAUCGGUGUCCUUGAGGGGUUCUAACAACUCAGAACCCGUUGGAAAAAUGGAAUCGGCAAGAAUAUUAGUUGAUGAAGAACUCAUAAGAAGUUAAGUAGUUCCUUGGCAUUCUCGAGAUACCACGGGGGUAAUACUCGACGACAGACCAAAGUGGAGGUUGGACGGGGGUAUUGCUUUGCAGAGGACAAGUGCUUAAACUUGCACGAGAAAUGGUAUUUAAAGGAGAACAUGGUCGGAACCACGAUUGCAAAAGGAUCAAUACACAGAUACUAGACAAUAUCAUAUCAAGGAAAUAGUUAUUAUUACAAGAAGCUUCUAAGAUAGGAUCUACAUCGUGUCCAUGGGCAUGAACACAAAGUUCAAGGUCGACUCCCACUUCUCCAAUGCAUAACCUUUCAUUCACUUCUCGCAUUCGAUAAAGGCAUUAGUGUUGAAAGUUUUACCUGGUGAAAUACCAGAUGAGUAUGGCCCGUGAAAUCUUUCGGGCUCACAUAGAUUAGGUAAGGCAUUGGUUCAACCCAUCGAGGCAUCUUAGGAACAUAUACCACAAAUUUUUUGGAGUAAUUAACACAAGCUCGAAAGUAGAGCAUGGUUCACAAAGCAGAGGAUACAAUUUACCAAAGGCAUCAUGUAUCCGAGGAAAAGCUCACAAGCUUAUUUAAUAUGAAGGACAUUGUCGGAUAAAAUCCGACAAAAGGGUCUGGUGGUCCACAAGGGAUCUGAUGUGAGCAUCAGUACUCAACCAGAGGAAGAAAGAAUGCCAGGAGAUCAGAUUAUAGAAACAACUGACUAACUCAAAGCUCAAUGCAAAGGAAUUAUAAUUUCAAAUUCAAGGGAUCAGAAGCAAACGCUCUGAUUAGGGAUGGAUAAGUUGAGUAGACUUAGGGGUACAAUCGAUGGCAAAUUUGAUUGGUCGAGAUCCAGCUCACGUUUAAAAUGACGUCUGAGCCGGAAGGAUGAAUACUAGGAUCUGAUUGAGGAUUGCGAGCAUUCGCAACAAAUUGAAUCAACGGACUCAAAAUGAUAAUGACAAGAGAUGCCAAUAAGAUUACGAGACUUAUGGGAUUAACCAUAAUGCAAGCAAACAAGAAUUUCAAGAGCAAUAGGUUGCUGAGGAUUUUCGGAAGAUCGAAUGGUAUUUCGAAGACUUUGUGUAAUACAUGAAUCAUUUGGGGAUGAGCGGAUACUCGAUAAGUGCGAGAAAUUAUUCGUAGGGGUAUUCAGGUGGCAAAGAACUGCAAGGCAGUAGGCACAAAGUAUUCUCGGGGUAUUUUGUAUUAACAAGAUCGACUGGGAAUAAAAGUAAGAAUGACAGGUGUAAGUAUUUAUCCAUAGGGAUAUUUUGGUGGUAGGGAAUUGCAAAGGCAACGGGCAGAAGGUCUCGAGAGAAUAUCGGAGAGUAUCUCGAAGUCUUCUGAUGCAGUCGGCGAUCAUCUGGACUGAAGGGGCUCUCCGGGAGAAAGUAUUUUCGAGAACCUAAAGUUAGUUUUGUUUUUAGCAAAAUCAAUUUACCCAAAUAGAAGAGAGCUCAGAGUCCCAGAGUAUAGACGAGGAAUAAAAGAUCCUAAUACCACCCAAUGGCGACGUGGGCCCGUAAGACACACAACCAUGUUAGUAAAAACUUUUCCAAUGACUAGACUCGACUUCGGCCAAGGAGUUGGAAAGUGGGAUUCCAACAGGCAGUUGGCUCUGAUACCAACUUGUGACGCCCCCGAUUCAAUCGUACACUAAUCAUGCACACAAAUGUGUAGGAUCAAGAUCAGGGACUCACGGGAAGAUAUCACAACACAACUCUACAACAUAAAUAAGUCAUACAAGCAUCAUAAUACAAGCCAGGGGCCUCGAGGGCUCGAAUACAAUUGCUCGAUCAUAGACGAGUCAGCGGAAGCAACAAUAUCUGAGUACAGACAUAAGUUAAACAAGUUUGCCUUAAGAAGGCUAGCACAAAAGUAGCAACGAUCGAAAAGGCAAGGCCUCCUGCCUGGGACCUCCUAACUACUCCUCGAAGCCGAACUCCAUGUAGAAUCAUCCUCGGGAUCUCUAGCUCCUGGACUCCAGCAUCUGGUUGCGACAACCAGGUAUAGAAAGGGGAAAAGAGGGAGAAAAGCAACCAUGAGUACUCAUCCAAAGUACUCGCAAGCAAGGAGCUACACUACAUAUGCAUGGGUAUAUGUGUAAAGGACCAUAUCGAUGGACUGAACUGCAGAAUGCCAGAAUAAGGGGGGGAUAGCUAGUCCUGUCGAAGACUACGCUUCUGGCCACCUCCAUCUUGCAGCAUGUAGAAGAGAGUAGAUGGUAAGUUCACCAAGUAGCAUCGCAUAACAUAAUCCUACCCGGCGAUCCCCUCCUCGUCGCCCUGUUAGAGAGCGAUCACCGGGUUAUAUCUGGCACUUGGAAGGGUGUGUUUUAUUAAGUAUCCAGUUCUAGUAGUCAUAAGGUCAAGGUACAACUCCGGGUCAUCCUUUUACCGAGGGACACGGCUAUUCGAAUAGAUAAACUUCCCUGCAGGGGUGCACCACAUAACCCAACACGCUCGAUCCCAUUUGGCCGGACACACUUUUCUGAGUCAUGCCCGGCCGCGGAAGAUCAACACGUCGCAGCCCCACCUAGGCUCAACAGAGAGGUCAGCACGCCGGUAUAAAUCCUAUGCGCACAGGGGUCUGGGCCCAUCGCCCAUUGCACACCUGCACGUUGCGUACGCGGCCGGAAGCAGACCUAGCCUAGCAGGCGUUCCAGUCCAAUCCGGCGCGCGCCGCUCCGUCGCUGACGUCAAGAAGAGCUUCGGCUGAUACCACGACGUCGAGUGCCCAUAAUUGUUCCCGCGUAGUUGGUUAGUGCGUAUAGACCAAAUGGCCAGACUCAGAUCAAAUACCAAGAUCUCGUUAAGCGUGUUAAUUAUCCGCGAAUGCCAACCAGGGACAGGCCCACCUCUUUCCUAGGUGGUCUCAACCUGCCCUGUCGCUCCGCCACAAAGCAACAGUCGGGGGCCGUCAGGAACCCAUGCCCACCUCUACCGGGAUGGAGCCACCUAUCCUUUCAGCCCCCUCAUCAGAAUCACUUGCGGGUACUCAACGAGCCGACCCGACUUUAGUCACCACAUGUGUCAUGUAUAUAAAGUAUAUAGUAUAUACCCUUGAUCACCUCCCGCAGUGAUCACGGCCCAGUAGUAGCAUGGCAGACGGACAAGAAUGUAGGGCCACUGAUGGAAAGCAUCCUAUUCUAAGCAGUAGGAUAGCAGGUAAGGGUAACAACUGUAGCAACAAUGACAGGCUAUGCAGCAGAAUAGGAUUAACCGAAAGCAGUAACAUGUACACUCUUCUAAUGCAAGCAGUAUAGAGAAGAAUAGGCGAUAUCUGGUGAUCAAGGGGGGGGGGGGCUUGCCUGAUGGCUCUGGCAAGAAGGAGGGGUCGUCAACUCCGUAGUCGAACUGGGCAGCAGCAGCGUCGGUCUCGUAGUCUACCGGAGAAGGAGAGGGGGAAGAAACAGUAAAUACGGAGCAAACAAAGCAUCACAAAACAUAAGGAGGCAAAACGCGGUGCUAGGUAUGCCCUAACGCGGUAGGAGGUGAUACCGACGAAGGGGGGAAACAUCCGGGAAAGUAUCCCCGGUGUUUCGCGUUUUCGGACAGAUGAGCCGGAGGUGAAAUGUUACAGGUUUGCUAUGCUACGGAUGUGUGGCGGGCGAACGGGUUGCGUAUCCGGAUUUGUCUCGUCGUUCUGAGCAACUUUCAUGUAGAAAGUAUUUUCAUCUGAGCUACGGUUUAUUUUAUAUGAUUUUCUAAAGAUUUAAUCAUUUUCUGAUUUUAAUUAUUUAUUUAAAUCCAACAUUAUCCAGAACAGUGCACACUGACAUCAGCAUGACGUCAGCAUGACAUCAGCAGUCAACAGGGGAGUUGACUGUUCAACUGACGUGUGGGUCUCGUUCGUCAUUGACUGUUUAGUCUAAUUAGGGUUUAACUAAUCUAAUUGCUAUUUAAUUAAACUAACUAGUUAAUUAGAUUAAUCAAAUAGGAUUAAUUAAUUAAUUAAUCUAUUAAUUAAUUAUUUUAAUUAUUAUUUAUUUAUUUAUUUUUAAUAAUAAUUUUUUUACUUUAUUAUUAUUAUUAAAACGUUCUGCGGGUGGGCCCGAAUGGCAGUGGCCCUAGGGGCCUUAGCGGGCGCCAGCGUUAGCGGGUUCGAGCGCAACGGGCGCCCAGCACCCGUUCGUUCGGGCGCGCGCCCAGGGGCAUGCGGGGCGGCGGACCCAGCAGGGCACCGGAGCAGGGGAAGGCCGGUGGCCUGGGGCCGGCGGUGAGGGGCGAAGUGGGAGGGGUGGCGCGGCCAGUGCAGGGUCGGGACAACGGCAGGGAAGCGGUGACGAGCACGGUAGCCAAGGCGAGCCGCACGGCGUGGGACGGUGAUGACUGGCGGCGUAAGCGGACAGGGGAGACCGAAGGAGGCCAUGACGGGUGAGGGCCUCGACGGCCAGAGCGGGGAAGGCGCGCCGGCGAACGCGAUGCAGUGGCCGCGCGGGGCGAACGGGGCACGGGCAGUGCGACGCGACCGUAUGCGGCGAGAGCGGAGUGAGGGGGGCACGGGGCAGAGACAGGGGCGUGAGAGAGCGGCGGGCAGUGCGUGCGACAAGCCGCAACGGUGAGCGGCAGCGCAGCUGCUGCUGCGUGGCGACGCGGGCGCGGAGCUCGUCGGAGCAGAGCACAGCAGGAGCGGGCGGGUGGAGUCGGCAGAGCUGUGCGGUGGUAGGGGCGCGGCGUGGUCAUGGUGAGCGCGGGGCGAGGGGGAGAGGAGGCCGGGGGCCUCACCCGCGUUUGCUGAGAAGAGGGCGGCGAGGCUCGGGGGCGACCCGUGGGGAGGAGGACGUGGAAGCAACGACGACGGUGAUGGCAAAGAGGACGGCUGCGCGGCGAUCCGAGCGGCGACGGGGUGACCGAGGCGGAGGCGUUACGGGCGGCGGCGAGGUCCAGCGGCGGGGCGACGUGCGUGGUCGGGCCCCAAUCCGAUCUGGAUCGGGGAAGAGAGGGAGAAAGCAAAUGGGGAGGGGGAGUGGCUGCGUGGGGGGUUAGGGUUUCACCGGUGUGGGGGAGUGGGUUAGUAGGCAGGGGGUGGGACGGAUGGGCCAGUGGGCUGGCCGGCUGGGCUGGUUGGCCCAGUUAGCCGGGGGUCUUUCUCUCACUCUCACCUCUUCUUUUUCUUUUGUUUUUUGUUUUAUUUUUGUUCCUUUUUAUUUCAGUUUUAUAAAAAUUAACACUAGCACCUAAAUUUGUAUUUAUAAAUAUACCACUGCCACAUUAACUUUGGCACCUAAAUAAAAUAGUUUUGUAAUUAUUUAUCAUUUAAAAGUAUUUAUUAAAUAACAGUUUUGCCGCUGUUUUAAUUACUAUGGUGCAUUUAAAUACUUUAGAGGAGUGUGGUUUCUACACCAAUAUUUAGUAUGGAUUAUUUGGCUCACUCCGAAUAUUUUAGUUUUAAUAUUUGUAAACUUUUAUUAUUUGCUUUUAUUUAAAUUUUGAAUUUGUUUCGGUUCUGAACUAUCGAGAGUUUAUCUUCGGUAAACGGGGUGACGUGGCAUCGUUAACGUGGGAUUACUGUAGCUUAAUUAUCCGGGCGUUACAACCCCCAAAGAAAGCGAUG
rnacentral:lncRNA from 1 species